rnacentral:rRNA from 1 species
GACGAACGCUAGCGACGUGCCUAAGAAAUGCAAGUCGAGCGAGGUUUAGGAGCUUGCUCCGAAGACCUAGCGGCGAACGGUCGCGUAACACGUAAGCAACCUGCCCUAAAGUUUGGGAUAGCCCUCCGAAAGGGGGAUUAAUACCGGAUGUGGAUACUUUUCGCUUGUGAGAGUAUCUAAAGCAGUAAUGCGCUUUAGGAUGGGCUUGCGGCCUAUCAGCUAGUUGGUGUGGGUAAAGGCCUACCAAGCCUGCGACGGGUAGCCGGACUGAGAGGUCGACCGGCCACACUGGAACUGAGACACGGUCCAGACUCCUACGGGAGGCAGCAGUGGGGAA